GUUCUUGGCUAGAUGCAUGAAUCACCUUGUCAGGUUCUCUGGACAGUCCUUUGCAGGAGGUUCGCUUGCUGCAAGCCAGGAAAUGUGUAGCUCUCCAGGCACUCUCCCCGCCCCGCGGCUGUUUCUGGACAGGCUGUCAGCUCAUCAAGGGGACACGGCCUUGCUGUCGUGUUUAGUCCCUUGUGGCAUCCCAGUGACCC